CCUACGGGCGGCAGCAGUGAGGAAUAUUGGUCAAUGGACGAAAGUCUGAACCAGCCAUGCCGCGUGAAGGAUGACGGCUCUAUGAGUUGUAAACUUCUUUUAUAAGGGGGUAAUAUCAGGUACGUGUAUCUGCUUGCAAGUAUCGUACGAAUAAGGAUCGGCUAACUCCGUGCCAGCAGCCGCGGUAAUACGGAGGAUCCAAGCGUUAUCCGGAUUUAUUGGGUUUAAAGGGUGCGUAGGUGGGUUUAUAAGUUAGUGGUGAAAGUUUGGGGCUCAACUCUGGACGUGCACGUAAUACUGGAAGUCUAGAGAAUAGAUGAGGUAGGCGGAAUGCAUGGUGUAGCGGUGAAAUGCGUAGAGAUCAUACAGAACCCCGAUUGCGAAGGCAGCUUACCAAACUAUAUCUGACGUUGAGGCACGAAAGCGUGGGGAGCAAACAGGAUUAGAUACCCGAGUAGUC
rnacentral:rRNA from 1 species